UACGGGGGGGGCAAGCGUUGUUCGGAAUUACUGGGCGUAAAGGGCUCGUAGGCGGCCAACUAAGUCAAACGUGAAAUCCCUCGGCUUAACCGGGGAACUGCGCUUGAUACUGGAUGGCUUGAGAUUGGGAGAGGGAUGCGGAAUUCCAGGUGUAGCGGUGAAAUGCGUAGAUAUCAGGAGGAACACCGGUGGCGAAGGCGGUUCUCUGGGCCUGUACUGACGCUGAGGAACGAAAGCGUGGGGAGCGAACAGG
rnacentral:rRNA from 1 species